UUGGUGGCGCCUGUAGUGUGGGAGCUGGACGCGGACAUUGAGCGGGCGUUACGUGCAGAGCCCUCUCCCCCUGAGUGUCCAGCUGGUCGUCUGUACGUUCCGUCGGCUGUCCGCGACCGAUUGAUCUAUUGGGCUCACACGUCACCCUCCUCUGGUCAUCCUGGGAUAGGUUGGACGAUGCGCUGUCUUGAUGGGAGGUACUGGUGGCCCACUUUAGCUAAGGACGUGAGGAUUUAUGUUUCCUCCUGCUCGGUGUGCGCCCAGUGCAAGGCUCCUAGACACCUGCCCAGAGGUAAGCUACAACCUCUACCCGUUCCUCAACGGCCGUGGUCGCACCUGUCGGUGGAUUUUUUGACUGAUCUUCCACCUUCACAGGGUUACACCACGAUCCUGGUCGUUGUGGAUCGGUUUUCGAAGUCCUGUCGUCUCCUCCCUUUGCCCGGUCUCCCUACGGCCUUACAAACUGCAGAGGCCCUGUUUACACACGUUUUCCGGCACUAUGGGGUGCCUGAGGAUAUAGUGUCUGAUCGGGGUCCCCAGUUCACAUCAAGGGUCUGGAAGGCAUUCAUGGAGCGUCUGGGGAUCUCGGGUAUCAGCAGGUUCUGGCUAAUUGGCAUCAGAGCCGGACCGAGGCUCCUGCGGUGGACAAUUGGUUUCGGCGCACUGAGGAAACCUGGGAGGCAGCCCACGUCCGCCUUCAGCGCGCCAGAAAAUUGGCGCAGACCGUCGCCGCAGUGAGGCCCCAGUGUUCGCACCAGGGGACAGGGUCUGGCUCUCGACCCUCCACCUGCCCCUCCACCUGCUCUGCCGGAAGCUGGGUCCGCGGUUUGUGGGGCCGUUUAAAGUCCUGAGGAGAGUGAACGAGGUAUGUUAUAGGUUACAACUGCCCACUAAUUACCGUAUUAACCCCUCGUUCCAUGUGUCUCUCCUCAGGCCGGUGGUGGCUGGCCCGCUCCAGGAGGCUGAAGUGCAUGAUGUUCCUCCGCCUCCUCUAGACAUCGAGGGGGUCCCGGCGUACUCUGUUCGAUCCAUUUUGGAUUUGAGACGUCGGGCGAGGGGCCUUCAGUACCUCGUGGACUGGGAGGGUUCCGG
ensembl:lncRNA